UCAGGAGUCCUCAGGCCAACGUCCGUCAACAGAGGGUCCUGUGUCUCCCGAAUGGACCUUCCCCCUUGUGUCUGCCACUCUCACUCGUUAGCUGGGAGCAGCCCGUGGGAAGCGGGGCCUCAGUGCAAACGUGGUGAUGGAGUUUACAGGACGGCAACCGGCACCCUCGGCAGCUUGUGCUCCGUGUUGUUGGAGGUCUGCAAGGUACCUCCUCGUGGCCGCUCAAGCCCACCCGUCGCACCAAGUGAAGCCACUUCUUCACACAGACUUGGGCAGCAGCUCUUCCGUGAUUCCAGUGGGCCUUUCUUCCCGAAGGGGAAUCAGAAGAUGGAGGAUAAAUUACUGCCCCGUCUUUGCAAUUGACCAUGGGGCUACAGCAAAUGCCACCCUCUCCCUUCUACACCAUCCCUUUUACAUUUCCUCCACUCAGCUGUGACUCACCAAGGCUUUGGCAGGUUUCGGUGGCUUCCCUGGUAGUGUGACUCAAGCUUUCACUUCUGAGGGAUAUGAAGCCGUGAUAAUCACUCAUCUCAGGCCAGGGGGACUGCAUGUGUCCAUUCAUACUUACAGUGAGGCACUGGAGCGCCAGGGGAGGCCACGGUGGGUCACCUGGCCUGUUAGUCUGCUCAGGCUGCUCUCAACAAAAUACCACAAACUGGGGGGCCCGAACAACACAAAUUUAUUUUCUCACAGUUCUGGAGAUUGAAAGUCCAAGAUCGAGGUUCCAGCAGGGUUGGUGUCUGCUAGAGCUCUCCCCUAGGGUUCUACACAGCCACCUUCUCGCUGUGUGAGCACAUGGCCUUGCCUUGGUGCUUGCACAUGAAGAGAAAAAGAGCUCUCCAGUGUCUCUUCUUAUAAGGACACCAAUCCUAUCAGAUCAGGACCCCAUCCUUAUGACCUCGUUACUUAAUCACCUUAAUUACUUCUCCAGAGGCCCCAGCAGAGGCUGAGAUUUUGCAGGCAGGAAGGGCAACCUCAUCCCCAGCAAAUGUAUCUAUCCUUGUGAAGAGGAACGAGAGACCCUUUCAGGAUGGAAGGUGGCCAAUGUAGUCAAUUUGCCACUAAGCGGCCAACUGGGUUCCUUGAAGAAUAGUGCCUGGAUGACUUGGUUUCUGUUGCUAACAGUUUGGACAUUCAGAAGCAGCAGUAGCUGGAUCUGCCUUGGUAAGUGGGAGUCCAUGCUGUUGGGCCCACACAUAUCUUCCUGUCUGACACUGUGGCCACCCCACUCAUGAGCCCGUCAUGCUGGGUUAGGCUGAUGAUGAAAGCGGAUAAUGUCAACAGAACAAGUCAUUCGGUCUCCUUGGUAGUCCAGUUGAGAAUGGGUCCUCACUGGUGAGGGUUAAUGCACUUACUGGUGAGUGUGACACAAAAAUCUUCACACUUUGUGCCCACUCCCACGUGUCCACCACAUGCCUCUACCCUAGACCUCCUUGGCUAUGCUCCUCUAUUUCCUUUCCUUUCCGACCCUGGACCAGGCCAUUGGCCAUUCACCUCGGGCAACUUUUCUUUGCCUACAAAGAUGAUGGUCAGGUGACUGCUUGCAUCUCUACCCAUUGGGAAGACUUUCCCUCUCUACUGUCUUUUAGGGCCCCUCCUAAGUGUGGGAGGAAUGCAGCUGCUACCUAUUUUUGACUUGCACCCAUGUACUGAGUUAACCCAUCUGUAAACCAAGCUCCUCUUCCAGCUGGUCAUAUGGGAUUCUCCUAUACGGCCGCAGGCACAAGUUAGAGGAGGGCCUUGGUCCAGCUGUGGUGGAUGACAAGGAGGUCUGAGCUGCCUAUUUUUGCAGGUAAGUCAUGCCCUCUGGUCCUACUCAGGCUCCACCCCAGGUAUGCUAUUUCCACACCACAGUGGAUGCCUGCGGACCUAUCUGACUUUAUGACUUGGCAGGUCUGACAGAACCCAGUUCAUAAUAGUCAGUUCCGGAUCCUGGCCAAGUGCUCUGUCUCUACCAGGAUCCAGUAACGUGCCAAGAGCUAUUUCUCAGAGUGCGUAAUUCUCCGCUGCUGAUGGCGCGACUUUGCUCCAGAAUCCCAGGAGCAUGCAUUGUGAUUCUCCUGUUGGAGUUUGCCACGAGCCAAGGUCACCCCCACCCACCCUUCCCUCCUCCAACUGAUUACUCUCUGGCCCUUUCAUCUAACUUUUUUGAUCUCAAGACUCUAUGCGUCGACCCAGAGAACAUCGCGUUCGUUUCCUAGGCCUGCCAUAGCAAAGGAUCACAAACAAGGCAGCUUAAACAACAGAAAGUAUUGUCUCACAGAUCAAGAUGUGGGCAGGGUUGGCUCCUUCCGCGGCUGUGAGGGAGAACCUGUUCCAUGCCUCCUUCCUGGUUUCUGGUGGUUUUCUGGCAAUCUUUGGUAUUCAUCGCCUUGUAGAAGCAUCACCCCAAUCUCCGCCUUCAUGUCCACCCGGCAUUCCCCCUACAUGUGUGUGUCUGUGUCCAAAUUUCCCCUUUUUAUAAGGACACCAGUCAUGUUGGAUUACAGCCCUCUCUACUCCAGCAAGACCUCAUCUUAACUCAUUUCAUCAGCAACAACCCUGUUCCCAGAUAAGGUCACAUUCUGAGGGUGAGGAGUCAGGACUUCAAAUACGCAUUGUAGGAAACCCAGUUCAACCAGUAACAGACAUCUCGAUGUUCUCUCCUGGGUGAUGCUUCCCUCCUCCUGGGACGACGGUGACUGCCUCCUGCAUCAGCCGGACAGCACCGUUCUUUGAAUUCGAACCUCUCAGCUGGAAUGGCAGUGAGCAGGAGGCCCCUGGGACAGCCUUCCCACCCACCCUCACAGCCCAGGCCACGGGCCACACCACAGGCCUCACCCUGGCCAGAGCCUCUCGAUCCCAGGACAACAGGGUGUCCUGAGGCCACGCCCCCCUCUUCAGCACAGCCAUGUCCCCACUGAGGCCCGUUCCCCACAGCCUUGACCCUGACACACCAAUUCCACAUUGUUCUCACCUGACUGAGCAUGGAAAGACACUUUUUAAAGAAGCCAUAUCCUCCCCAGAAGCAUGGCCUAGAUACAGCUGCGAAAGAGCCCAGAUGACUUCGGGACCCCAUGUCCUUUGAUCAUUCUCCUCAGGCCUUUGGCAACUCGUAAUUCUACCCAGCCCCUGAACAUCAUUAUAAACAAGUAGCACAGUGUAACAAAGAGAGCAGUCAGCUAGGAGACCUGGGGUCCAGCCCAGCCUGUCAUUUAGCACCUGGGUGGCCUUGGGCAAGUCCCUUCACCUCCUGAUUCUCAACUGUAAGGAAAAGAGGCAGAGAAGCAACCGUUCGGUGAUCUCUAAGUCACCUUUAAGCACAAAUGAACCAGGGCUCGAGUCUGGCUGGCCAUUAACUUGUCUAAAGAGAGAGGAAUCUAUUUGCUUAGUCAGGAAAGUUUGUUUGAAAAUGUCCCUUUUCUCUCAAAGUAAUUGUGAAACUGCAGACAGAACACCCUUUGGUGCAUAUUUAAAAUUCAGGAUCUGAGUAUUUUCCUUAAACAUGUGUCCGGGCUGCAGGAGAAGCUGGCCAUCAGCUGGGGCACUAAGCAGAGCGCCUCCCCGAGGUCUCUCCUGUGCCCUGGGCUUCUCCAGCAUGGGCUGGGUUCUGAGAGGAGGUGCCCAAAGACUGUAAAACUGAGGCACUGAGAGGUGAAGGAAAUUGCCUAACACCAGCCGGCCACAAUGAACAUGUGUAAUUUUACAACUCAGAAAAAAGAAAACCCACUGAUAUUGAGGAAAGAAGAGAUCUAUGCAAAUGGCUCUGGAAAGUCAUCUGUGCAUUGGGUUCGUCGUGAACGUGAUGCUGCAGACAGCAGCUCAGGCUAGACUGACGGGUGCAUGGGGGAGACUGAGGCGUUUGGGAGGGAAGUGACCUGGUGCUGCGAAUCCUGCCCUGGGGCUCGAGGAACUCCGCCUCCCCUAACCCUGAUCUAACUGGACGGACCCAAGCGAAACCAUGCUGACGGCACUCCCAGUUGCAGGUCUUCCAAAUAAAAUCUUUUCAGAUGAGCAGCA
ensembl:lncRNA